GAGCUCACUUGCCGGGAACGAAGUUGGUGGCGAAAGCCCAGGCGUUGUUGUUGACGGGGUCGGCGAGGUGGUCGGCGAGGUUCUCGAGGGGGCCCUUGCCGGUGACGAUGGCCUGGACGAAGAAGCCGAACAUGGAGAACAUGGCGAGGCGGCCGUUCUUGAUCUCCUUCACCUUGAGCUCGGCGAAGGCCUCGGGGUCCUCGGCGAGGCCCAGGGGGUCGAAGCUGCCGCCGGGGUAGAGCGGGUCGACUAUCUCGCCGAGCGGGCCGCCGGCGACGCGGUAGCCCUCGACGGCGCCCAUGAGCACCACCUGGCAGGCCCAGAUGGCGAGGAUGCUCUGGGCGUGGACGAGGCUGGGGUUGCCGAGGUAGUCGAGGCCGCCCUCGCUGAAGAUCUGGGAGCCGGCCUUGAACCACACGGCCUCGCCGAACUUGACGCCGUUGCGGGCGAGCAGCUCGGGGAAGACGCAGCCGAGCGCGCCGAGCAUGGCCCAGCGGCAGUGGAUGACCUCCAGCUCACGGUUCUUGGCGAAGGUCUCGGGGUCAGCGGACAGCCCCGCGGUGUCCCAGCCGUAGUCGCCGGGGAACUCGCCGGUGAGGUAGCUCGGGGGGUCGCCGGAGAGCGGGCCGAGGUAGAGCACGCGGUCGGAGCCGUACCACGGGCUGCUGGACGCCGCCACCUUGGGCUUGCCCGCCGUCUUGCGCAUGGUGAUGCGGCCCUCGCCGAAGGGCGCCGCCCUGGAGGCCUUCACCGGGGUGCCGGCCAUCGCCGGGGAGGAGAGCGCCAUGGUCGCCGCGGCCGCCAUCGCUCGCUGCGUGCUAGCUAGCUAGCCUUGCUUCGAGUGAGCUGAGGCUGGCAGUGACAGUAGGAGGCGCUGGUGGUCGUUGGUGGUGAGGAGUGAAGCGGGAGCGCGCCGGGUUUAAAUAGGAGGAGGGAGCGAUCGGGUCCUUAUCCCGGGGAAUCUUAUGCCGAGUCGCCAUUGGCGCGCGGGGCGCGAGGCGGGCGGAUGGGGCGGCUGAGGUGGCCGCGCGGUGGCCACGGGAGCGGCGGAGGUCGGGAUUUUUUGCGGGGUUGUGGUGGAUUUGGCGCGGUGGAGAUGAGCCGCGAGGGCGACGGUGGGUCGCGGCCGCAGCCCACAUGGCCGCGUGUGGGGCGGCUCGCCGAUGUGGCCGCGCGCUGGCCAGGGGAUCUCCUGCUCACCGCGCCGGGCGGAAGGGGACGGAGGGCGAUGAGUUUGGCCGUUGCGCGCGGUGCAUUCUGAGGCGUGCCGCUGGCCGGAGGACCCCGGGAAAGAGAUAUCUGCCGUUGGCAGGUUGUGCCGGCGACCUACGUGGCCGACAUCUACUGGUUUCACGACUUCACGAGGUGCCCAAUCGGAACGGGUUCAGGACUAGCUCGGAACUGCCGUUUUAUUUUUCGAUUUGCACAUGCAUCAUGUAAAGAUCCUCUGCAAUGGUUGAAGUUUAAAAACUUUUAUCUUUAAAACCGUUAAUUCAAUCGAUGAUCUCUUUUCAUCGUUGACUUUGUCACGACAAGAUCUUCGAAACUAGAUCUCAUGUUGACAUGUUUCGACAAACUUUUUUUUUCUUCCAUAAUUGCUACAUUUUUCCACUCACUUGCUAUAUUAUUAACCACUUACUUGCUCAAUAAAAAUAACUUAAUUGCCAUAUUUUUUUAUGUCGUUUCGUGCAAAGAUUAUCGAUGCUUAUAAAUGCAGUCCCCAAAAUGUUUUGAUGUGUUUGUCAUUUUUAUUCUACUAAGUUGUCAUGUGGUCUCAUAAAAGCUUGUAGGUGCUUAUAAAAUCACAGUUUCUACAUAUAUUUUUUGUGCUUGUCAUUUUAAUCCUACCUCGUUAUCAUAUUGUCCCAAACAACUUGUGAGUCAUUGUAAAAAAAAUAGUUGUUACGGUGUUUGCUGUAUUUAUCUUUUGAAUUCUAUGCUCAAUUGUUAUGUUUUGUGGUAAUAAAAGGACAUUUGAUUGUUUUAAAACGUAGUUGUGCUAGUGUUGUGUUGUGUCGGUCAGUUAAAUUCUAUUAAAAUGAUAUGCUUUUAUAUCAUGUAUAAUAAAAUAUGUUACAAGGCUUUUGUACGAAAUAAUAUUAAAAAGUGACAAUCAAGUUAUUUUUUUAGGCAAGUAAGUGGUUACUAAUAUGGCAAGUGGGUCAAAAAAUAUGGCAAGUAUGAACAGAAAAAAAAAGUUGACGAAACAUAUCGAUAUGGGAUCUAGUUUUGAAGAACUCGUCGCGAGAAAGCCAAUGAUGAAAACGGAUCAUCGAUUGAAUUAACGGUUUUGGAGAUAAAACUUUUUGAAUUUCAAACAUAAAAAAGAAUCGCGGGUUGUCCUCCCGCCGCACGGCAAAGCAGCGCUGCGCAUGCUAUCAAUUAGAUUUUUCCUUUAUUUUUUAUUUCUUACCGGCAAAACGAUCCGUAUGUUGAAACGGAAAAAAAAUCAUAAUCUUUAAUGAACAUGAACAUAUUUUCCUGCAUCAUCAAGAUAAAAAAAUAUCACUCUCAUUUUCAUGAAAUCGUGGAUAGUUUUUAAAAAUACAGAACAUAUUAAACUCAUGAACAUAUUUGCAAUCGGGAAUAUGUUUCAAAUUCACAGACGUUUUUACAGAUUUUUGAACAUUUUCAAAGAUCAUGAACAUGUUAUACUAUUUUCACACAUUUUUUAAAAUAUAGGAAAAAUAUUAAACAUUUUUCCUGAAUUGGCGAACAUUUUUCUAGAACCGAAGAUCACUUUUUUGGAAAUUUGUCGGCCAAUUUCUGAAAUUCACCAACAUUUUUUUGAUUUUAAAAUUAUUUUUUGAGUUCCAUGAUCAUUUUUUGAAUCAGCGAACAUUUUAUGAAUCAUAAACUAUUGUGUAAUUCACGAUCAGUUUUUGAAUUUUCUCGAUAUUUUUCAAUUUAAGAACAUUUUUUGAAUUGUAUUUUUUUCAAUUGAUUAUUUUGUUAACAUAUGAACGUUGAUAACAAAUCAUGAUUUUUUUUUGGAUUUUCCGAACCUUUGCUACCAAAAUUAUGAAAUUUUUAUGAAUAGGUGUUAUUUAAAAUUGCAAAUAUAUUUUUUAAUCCACAGACGUUUAGAAUUAUUAAACAUUCUAUUACUAAAAAUGUAUUUAAAAAAUUCGGAAUUUGUUUGAAGUCCUGAAUUAUUUAAACUAGAAAGAACAAAGACGGAAAAGGAAAACAAAAUUUAGAAAAUAGGACACCCAGAUAUGGAUCAGCCCAAACAAGUGCGACGUGUUUUCUUCCAGCACACAGAGCACAGUGUAAGAGGUUCCUACUUGAUGGGCCAGCCCAAACGGGGAUUCCCUUUGUGAAAUGUUUGUUAUCACUUGUGGCAACGCUAGGUAAUAUUUUACAACUUUAAAGGUAAUUUAUGUGAUGCACCUUAAGAAGCACUAAUGCCUUUAUUAAUAUAGGUAUAUAUAUAUGCAACAGACUGUUUACACGUGCAAUCAAGUUUUGCAAGUCUUGGGCCUAUAUAUAUAUAUAUAUAUAUAUAUAGGCCCAAGACUUGCAAAACUUGAUUGCACGUGUAAACAGUCUGUUGCAGUUACUUUGGUUGUAGCCUAGAGAUGUGAAAUGUUAUUUCAACCAACCAGAAGAGAGUGCUUGAUACUUGUGAUCUGCAUUGAGUUUUUUAUAAAGAGGAAUGGAUGAUGCAUCACAGUAUAAAUGGUAAAUUGUAAUGCGUGCUCAAGUUCCGCAACACACCCAAUACAAUGACAAAUUGCAUAGGCGAACUAGUUCGGCGAAGAGAUGUGAUACAAGUGUAGUAUGGAUAGUAUAAAUAUAUUUUUAUAAUCCGAAUAAGUAAAAAGAGCGAGGCAACAAGUAGUAAACAACGAGAAAAACGGUAUAUUAAUGUUGGAAUUAUGCCCUAGAGGCAAUAAUAAAUAUAGUUAUUAUUAUAAUUCCUGUAUCAAGAUAAUAGUUUAUUAUCCAUGCUAUAAUUGUAUUGAAUGAAGACUCAUUUACAUGUGUGGAUACAUAGACAAAACACCGUCCCUAGCAUGCCUCUAGUUGGCUAGCCAGUUGAUCGAUGAUAGUCAGUGUCUUCUGAUUAUGAACAAGGUGUUGUUGCUUGAUAACUGGAUCACGUCAUUGGGAGAAUCACGUGAUGGACUAGACCCAAACUAAUAGACGUAGCAUGUUGAUCGUGUCAUUUUGUUGCUACUGUUUUCUGCGUGUCAAGUAUUCAUUCCUAUGACCGUGAGAUCAUAUAACUCACUGACACCGGAGGAAUGCUUUGUGUGUACCAAACGUCGCAACGUAACUGGGUGACUAUAAAGAUGCUCUACAGGUANNNNNNNNNNNNNNNNNNNNNNNNNNNNNNNNNNNNNNNNNNNNNNNNNNNNNNNNNNNNNNNNNNNNNNNNNNNNNNNNNNNNNNNNNNNNNNNNNNNNUCCUCGCCUCUAGCUCGCGCACCCCUCGCCGGAGUCGGCACCAGAGAGCUUCACCCAGGAGCUCCUCCAUCGCCCCCCCCUGCACGCUUUCCCCCUGCCGAGCCCACCUCACCCCGCCACCACCUCCCCACCACUCGGCCCCCUCCUCCACCACCCCUCCACCCCGCUGCUGCUCCUCCCCAUCACCACUACCAGGCAGCCAGGAGCUUCCCCGUCGGCUCCCCCACAUGCAGGCUCCCUCCUCCCCCUUCGGCCCUCCCCCCAGGAGUCUCCACCGGCCCCUUCCCCACCCCUCGCCGGCCCCUACCCCACCCCACCGGAGCUCACCCCGUGCACCCCCUUCCCACCUCGGCCACAAUAGCCAGCCACGGGAGCAGCUCCAGCCACGGUAAGGCUCCACUCCCCCUCCUGUUUCUUUUUUGUUUUUAUGUAGUAGCCCUUAGAUCCAUAAUCUACGGUGUAGAUUAGGAAGUACUUACCCCUUCGGUUUUCUAAAAAGAACCGGUCCAUCAGUUAAGUGAACCGAAGCAUUUUCUUAUUUAGCGGCCAUCCGCUGUUUAGUCUAUGCAGCAAACACCCCUUAGCCAAUCAGGGACUGCCACGUAGUUAGUUAGCUUUUAUUCUGUUUUUUUUUCAGAUUUAGUUCAAAAACAGAAAGUUCCAAUCUUGUUUAGCCCAUAACUUUUGAUCCCGAAGUCCAAUGAUAGUGAUUCUUUUUCCAGUAGCUCACAAAGUUCCUGUAGUUUCUAAAAACAUAUAAUUUGUAUAUGUUUGAAAUUUUCGAAUAUAAGUUAGAUCAGAUUUAGUUUAAACAUUGUUUUGCCUAUUCCAGGAGUUUAAAAAUAUCUUUUAAUCUGAUUCCUUUUGGUACUGAUCACUAGUGAUCCUAUUUAUAAGUGGUAAAAAUUUCCAAUUUGUUUGAGUAUAUUAGCUCACUGUUUCUUGUGAAACAAUUUCUGUUUCAUCUCUUUUAGGAUUUCGGCUAAUUCCUUUUCUACUUUUGUUUUAAAAUAUUUUCUUUAUUAUUUCAGAAACAUUAUUGUUUUGUUUAUGUUAGUUAACAGUAGUUUUGGAACAAGUUUUUAUUUUAUUUUUAUUUGUUUUCAUGAAAUCAAUUCUAGUUCCUUAUUAACUUGCAAUUGGUUUCCGCACUGUUUCAAAUCCCGUUUGGGAAUACUUUCAAAAAGUUUUGUGAAAAAUACUUUAUUUUAUCUUAGUUAAACUUAUAUCUUAGUUCCUUGUUAUUAUUUUCUGUUAGACAAAAACUAGUUAGUGUUUGAUGUAGAAGAAGACUCCUAGUUUAGUAAAGUUUCUUUCGGAUUCUUAUUCGCUCUCUCUUUUGUUUUGAUUGCUAGAAUGAUUGCUAGUAUGAGUGCUUAUGUGAAUGAUAUGUUUGUUAUAUAGAUUCCCUCGGAGAGUGACGAGUAGUCUAUCAAGUUAUUUUCUCGAGAAAUUCUUCUUCGUCAACAUCACCAGGCAAGUCACUUUGAUCAUACUAUCACCUAUGUUUUAUGCAUCGUAGUUCUACCAUCCUAUGCCCAAAUUGCAUGCUGCUUAAGUACUUGGAAAUUUUAGUAUAGGUUGUAGUAUCAUGUGGUAGGCACCCAACAACCCCGAUACUUGGCCCCGGGACGACAAAUUUCAUAUUGCUAUGCUUGAGGAGACGGGAUUUCGGUUGAGUGCAUAACACAAGUGAUGCGAGGUUGAUUAAAUAAUCAAGACCGGUUAAGACAAGAUUUUCAAGAUCUUGGACACAAUGCAACUCUGGGUGAAGGACGGUUGAUCGGCUCCCUGGAGAACCCAGUGGAUGACCCGGGAUGCUGGAGAGGCCAUGACAUCCUGCGGAAAGCUUCACCCAGGCUCAAAGAGACGGACGGAUAUUUUCAAGACCCAAGGCUUACCUGCACAGCCACAAGUCAUUAUGGGCUCUGGCUUGGUUGGACAACGCGGCGACUCUGGACAGGCGGUGCUAGCAGAUGUAGAAGAAUGGUAUGAAUGGAUGGGCACCGACAGGGAUUCAGAGGGACCCGUUGAAAGACCAUGUUUUGAUCAUCCGGUCUUCAAACACCCUGAAGUGYGAGGACAUACACGGAGGCGAUCAAAUCUUGUGGGGAACGUGUGCAAAACUCUACAGAGUACUCAAACCUAAUCGAUUAGCCGUGUCCACGGUCAUGGACAACUUGAGCCAAAGGAACUGAAGUUAUCUGGAUUUCUCAACACCAUUAUAUAUAUUUGAUGAGGGUAAUUAUUGACAACUCGGGUACGAGAACUGGUUGGCGGAACCAUCUCGUUAACAACCAACCUUGUAGUAAUAUUUUUCUUUUAGCCCUCUUGAUGUUGGAGAAAACUUGCUUUUCGCUAAAAAACUUAUAGCCCCAGCUGCCAUAAAUGCAUAUAGUAUAGAUGAUUACUUUUCACCCCUCUCUUAUGKGACUUGCCAGCAUAUUCAAUAUGCUGACCUACACGGCURCAACAUCUUAUGUUGCAGAUAUUUUUCUUCGAUGAGUAAGAGUACGAUUCAGGGUUACGGUCAACCCUCAACUUGCCGUUGGUGUUUAUUGGGACUCCACUCCCUUGACUGCUUCCGCUGAGAUAUUUAAGGUAUACAUCAGUUUUACGCUAUUUACAUGUGAUUGCACUUUGAUAUAUACAUUGAUGUACUCUGUGUGCCAGCAUACUGAUCCACGGAUGGCACAGAAACACAGAGGCUUGACUCGUCUUGAGUCGGGUCGCUACUGAAAUGGUAUCAGAGCACAUAUUGACUGUAGGACGUGACCCUAGAAACUAGAAAUUUCUUAGGAAAGGAUCUCUCAAAAAUUUUAUUUUCAACAACACCUUUUACUUCUCAUCUCUUCUGAUUUCAUCGAAUGUUCCCUCUCACCUCAAAUAGUUAGACAAUACCCUUACCCCUUUGACCUCAUGAAUAAUCAACGGAGUUCUACUUCAAAUUAAAGAGGAUUUCCUCAUGCAAUUGAAGCUACACCAAUUGAAGACUCUCAAGACCCGAAGAACUUGAAGACCCCGAAACGUUCGAAUAUUUAUAUGACCAUUAGAAGUCCAAACCCCUGUUAUAUACCCACGUUAGAUACGAUGAUUUGUGAGCCGUCAUUGGUGUGUGUUUUUCGAUAGCCACAAAUAAAACCCAUUCUCAAAAAUAUUGUUUGUAUUGUGUGUAUCUCCCUCCCUCUCUUACCCGUCUCAUCCCCAAAACCUCAACCCUACCAGAUGGAGUAUGAAGCUGGACUUGUAGUCUCUGGACCAAUGACCCAGCUAGAGGCUGAAAUAUGGACUCAGAACAUGGAGAACCACUUCGGGAGCAACUUGAUCUCAAGGAAGUAUGAAGUGGAACACGCUCUCUAGUACUUUACCCAAAGUGCUGCAAUCUGGUGGAAAAUGCACCAUGCCAUACAAGGAUUUAGUGGAGCAGAAACCUGGGACGAAUUCAAGAACACCCUGUUAAGAUCCCGUCUCAUUCGGAAGUGCUAUGAUAAUCCGAAGGAGAAGACUUGUGCAUGCAAGAUCUAUGGAGAAAUAGGACACACCCAGGAAGAACACAAGGAUCGAUGCACUCAUUGUGAAGAAAAUCACCCAGCUGAGGAGUGCCCAAGUAGUCAGGUGACUUGUUUCCUUUGUGAAGGAACCACCCACUACCCAGCUCAGUGUCACAUUUACCCCAAGGUGCAACAGGUUGUCAAGCAGCAGAAAGAUGCAGUGAAGGAACCCCUCAAGAAGAAGAUUCUAGAAGAACCGAUGAUGAACGAAAAUAUUGAAGACCCUGAUGGACAAGGUCUGACCAGAUUUUUCUCCAAUGCAUGUUACUCAUGUGGAGAAGAAGGACAUUAUUCACAGGAUUGCACGAAGGAAAGCCAAGAGUAGCUGGGAAACUUCCCGACGGAAGAAGUGGAGUUUGAUCCACUUGAAAUAGAAGAACUGGCCAAAAUAAAGGAGUCCAGAAAGAAGAAAAAGUACCCUCGGAAGAACCAAAUCUCUGCAGACAUAGACCUGAGUCAUGUCAGAUGUUACAAGUGUAUGAAAUUUGGCCACCACAAAUACAUGUGCUCAGGAAGGAAGCCGGAAAUCCAAGGAGCAAAAGAAAAAGCUAAGAGGCCUCGAGACUUGUCAGAACUCAUUUGCUUUCGUUGCAAGGAAGCAGGACAUUUUGCUAGCGAUUGUCCACAAAGGAAGAAAGCUAAGAAGGAGUAGUUAAGUUUUGACCGCGGCACUUAGUGUAAUAUGAAUAACUCUUGUUUUUCAUGAGAUCAUGGAGUGAAAUUUUGUAAAGAAGUCCCUGAGAUUGUAAUAACAUCAUGAAUAAAUGGAAUUUAUUGUCUCAUGAUUGCCUAUGUUGAAACUGUAUGCGUUGUUUCUCUGCGAACAAAGAUCUCUGAACAUUUAUGAGGAUAUGAGAAAAUAUGGUCUAUGCAUGCAUGAGUAUUAUUCAUUUUAAGUGUGGUAGUAAUCGGUAAACCCACAGGAUCCACUGAGUAGGAAUGUACCAUGAUUACCAAGGAGACACAUACAUUCCUCUGAGUACCUAUUUACUGACACCUACAGAUGACACCUCUCUACGAGUCAUUCCUCAAGGGCCCAGAAACGAUCAUGACCCUGACCAGUGACCAUGAUUACCCGAAAAUCCUGAAGGACAUGAUGAAGCACAUUCACCUUGAAGGAGAUGCAGUCUACAAAGGCUACCCAUUUAUGGAAAAUUGAGUGGAACUUUGGUACGUGGAAGUACACCUCCACCAUGUGAAAGGAGUUUGUCCAAAGACUAUGGGGAAAUACUUUUUCAUUUCACGUGUACCGCGAGCAACCUUCUUUGAUGCUGUUCGUGAAGCUGCCAUGGAAGCCAUACGUCAGAUUGGAGAAAUACUUGAAGCAAGACUCCGUCAUACCCAGGAAUACCUGAGUGAGGUACGUGCGUAGAUGAUGGAGAUGAAGCUCAUGACCACCAUGAUGAAGCGAAAGAUGGAUGAUUUCAAGGAGUACCUCGGAAAGUUCGAGUGGAAGUACCUCCAAGAGAGACAGAUGAAUAAAGUUGGCAGAAAUGCUUGACCAUACCGAACAAUGUGGAUGGCAGCAUUUGUAAUAAAUUACUUUUGAGUUAGAAUUUUGAAGAAAGCAAGGAUGUAAUAAAGGAUAGAUUAUGUAAUGAAUAUGAUUUAUGGAAGAAGCUAUGAUGGAUCAGCAAACGUUUUCUUAGGAGCAUACGAAAGCCAGAGAGUUGUGGAGAUACGAUAGAUGUUUCGUUCAGCUUGCAGAACCAAUGGUUUAUCCGAACUUCGUUCGUGGACAAGAGAAACUCUGCAACGCUUGUGAGGAUGCCCAAGUGUUAGAAUGCGAGAUUCGCUAAACCUUAUACAGAGAAAUGAUUUGGGUGCGGAAUGGAUCGAUCACCAUGACGACUUACUCUUAUCAUUUAUCUUGCUAUUCAGAAUGGUAAAUCUGAGAGACUUACCCAUAUAGAGAGAUGACGUUCUUUGAAGCUUUUGUUUAAGACUUAGAGUGGUAUAAGAAAAGCCCAUGCACAUGGCACUUGUUGACACGCGUAGGAAAUUUUACGAUGAGAAUGAAACCAAGACCCCACUCUCUGCAAGAUAACCACAAAUGGUAUACCACCAUGAGAACCAUCGAUAUGUUAUUUAGAAUUGACCGCGAGACUGUCAGUUAAGAAGACCCAGUAAAGGAAGAAGCUUAUAUCAACGGAAGAACUCUCGAUUUUGAUGGAAAACGUUAUGAAUGUAACGAAAGAGCUUCACCAGAGGAGUUAGUAUGAAGACUGUGAGGAGUCAGAUGCCAAAACCCCACCGGAUUGUCAAAAAUCUUAUGGGACAAGUAAUCUUCAUUUUAAGUGUAGUAGCAUCCCACUUUGCUGGAAGUUGGAUUUGUUAGAAGACCCCCAAACCCUAACGUUUCUUUCUAGCCUCUUCGAAUCUCGAGGACGAGAUUCAUUUUAAGUGUGGUAGGUUUGUAACAUCCCAAAUUUUGGAAUGUUAAAAUAAUUAUUAGAUUGUUUGUUUGUUUGCUUGAGUGAUUGAAACUUGUGUGAAAUUUGAAACUUUUCAAAAACUUUUGAAUGAUAGGGAAUAAAAUGACUUUCCCCAUCUCUGAUGAAUUCAAAUUCAAUCUUUUAAAAGAAAAGAGAGAAGAUGACAUGACUUCUUCAACUAUAAAGAAUUUGAACGGAGUUUGCAUUUGAAUCCUUUCAAAUUAUUUGCCCUUGCUUCUAUAUUUUUCUUCCCCGAGAAAAUGCCCCGACAAAAUUCUUGCACGCAUGAAAGAGCGGAGGAAAAUGACCCUCCAAAAACCAGGGCCAUUGAUUGAAAUAUUUUGAGCCAAGAAAAAACCAAAAUUUAAUUUGAGAAAAUAAUUGCAAAAAUAAAUAAUGCUUUUAGGGAUUUUUUGGAAAAACAUUUUUUUAAGUUUUCAUUUUGGCCGUUGAAAAAUGCCCAUCAUUUAGAUUUUAUUUUUCUGAUAAUUUUAGUAUAUAGAAACCUUAUAUUCCGAAUUGAUUUGAUUUGCCUUUUAUCGUUUUAGUUUCCUAGUUUUGAAAAAGGAAAGAAAUCGUGUUUAAAUGGAAAUAAACGGUCGCCCAUUAAAACCUUUCCAAAAACUGGCCCAACAGGAUCUUCUUCUUCCUCUAUCUCCUUCCUCACGUGCAUAGGACCUUCCUUAGCCAUGGACAGAGAAAUCCUCACUUCCGGAAUUCGCGAAGUUCUUUCCCUCCUAGCCUCUCCCGUCGCCCCUAUAAGAAGGCCCCGGUCCUCCUCGUUCCAUUCCCGUUGGAAUCGCCGCCUCUCCCCACCUCCUCCCCCCCCCCUGUGGACCUCGGCGGAGUCGGCCACAGGAACUCGCCGGCGACCUUCCCCAUCGCCCCUGCACCCCCUCCCCACCCCACCGACUUUCCCCAUCGCCCCUGCACCUCCUCCACCACCCCACCCCGUCGCCCCCCUGCAUCCCUCCCCAUCCCCACCGAGCUCCCUGCCAGGAGUUCCCCGCCAAGACGCUAGGAGCACCGGAGCAGCCCCUGACGCCCCUCGCCCCUGCUCGACCAGGAGCUCCCAGGAGCCUCGCUGCCACUCCCUACGUCGCCCGCACCCCCCGCCGGCGACCCCACCCCGCCGGAGUUGCCCCCCCCCUCGCUGGAGUGCCUCCUCCUCGCCACUGCUUCUCUGGAGCACGAGGUAACUACCUCUCCUUUACYUUUUUUCUUUUUCUUUUUUUUCKUUUUAMUUAUACCAUUAGAUCUAGAAUCAACGCGGCAGAUUAGAAGCCCAGAUACCCUUUCGGUUUAGUUAAGAAAACCACUCAGAUUUCUAUUACAUUACUUUAGCCAAAGAGGUUUUAUUAGAUUUCGGCCGUCUGCUUAUAUGUCUCGCAGCAAACACCCCCUUAGCCAAUCAGAGAGCACCACGUGGACCCCCUGUUCACUAGUUGGAUUUUUUCUAUUUUCAGUUUAAUUCAAAAACAGAGGCAGAUUCAAUUUUCUUUUGAUCAUAACUUUUGAUCCACAACUCCAAUGGAGCUGAUUAUUUUUCCAGUAGAUCACAAUUUAUCUGUAGUUUUUAAAAACAUAUAAUUUGUCUAUGUUUGAAAUUUUCAAAUUUGAAUUAGAUCAGAUUUAGUUUAAACCUUGUUUUGCUUAUUCCAGGAGUUUAAAAAUAGCUUUUAAUUUGAUUCCUCUUGCUACUGAGCACUAGUGAUCUUAUUUAUCAGUGGUAAAAAUUUCAGAUUUAUUUGAGUAUUUUAGCUCAUUGUUUCUUGUGAAACAAUUUCUGUUUCACCUCUUUUAGGAUUAUGGUUAUUUCUUUUUUGUAAAUUGUUUUUAAAUUAUUUUCUUUCAUAUUUCAGAAACAUUAUUGUUUUGUUUAUGUUAGUUCACAGUUGUUUUUCAACAAGUUUUGAUUUUAAUUUAUUUGUUAUCAUGAAAUCAAUUCUAGUUCCUUAGUAACUUGCAAUUGGUUUCUCCACUGUUUCAAAUCCCGUUUGGAAAUACUUUCAAAUUGUUUUGUGAAAAAUACUUUAUUUUAUCUUAGUUAAAUUUAUAUCUUAGUUCCCUGUUAUUAUUUUCCGUUGAACAAAAACAAUUUAGUGUUUGAUGUAGUAGAAGACUCGCUAGUCUUAUUUGAAGUUUCCUUCGGAUUCCUAUUCGCUCUCUCUUUUGUUUUGAUUGCUAGAAUGAUUUCUAGUACGAGUGCUUAUGUGAAUGAUAUGUUUGUUAUAUAGAUUUCAUCAGAGAGUGACGAGUAGUCUAUCAAGUUAUUUCUCGAGAAAUUCUUCUUCGUCAACAUCACCACGCAAGUCACUUUGAUCGUACUAUCAACUAUGUUUUAUGCAUCAUAGUUCUACCAUCCUAUGCCCAAAUUGCAUGCUGCUUAGGUACUUUGAAAUUUUAGUAUAGGUUGUAGUAUCAUGUGGUAGGCACCCAACAACCCCGAUACUUGGCCCCGGGACGAGAAAUUUCAUAUUGCUAUGCUUGGGCAGACGGGAUUUCGGUUGAGUGCAUAACACGAGUGAUGCGAGGUUGAUUAAAUAAUCAAGACCGGUUAAGACAAGAUUUUCAAGACCUUGGACACAAUGCAACUCUGGGUGAAGGACAGUUGAUCCGCUCCCUGGAGAACCCAGUGGAUGACCCGGGAUGCUGGAGAGGCCAUGACAUCCUACAGAAAGCUUCACCCGGGCUCAAAGAGACGGAUGGGUAUUUUCAAGACUCAAGGCUUACCUGCACAGCCACAAGUCAUUAUGGGCUCUAGCUUGGUUGGACAACGCGGCGACUUUGGACAGACGGUGCUAGCAGAUGUAGAAGAAUGGUAGGAAUGGAUGGGCAUCGACAGGGAUACAGAGGGACCCGUUGAAAGACCAUGUUUUGAUCAUCCGGUCUUCAAACACCCUGAAGUGCGAGGACAUACACGGAGGCGAUCAAAUCUUGUGGGGAACGUGUGCAAAACUCUACAGAGUACUCAAACCUAAUCGAUUAGCCGUGUCCACGGUCAUGGACAACUUGAGCCAAAGGAACUGAAGUUAUCUGGAUUUCUCAACACCAUUAUAUAUAUUUGAUGAGGGUAAUUAUUGACAACUCGGGUACGAGAACUGGUUGGCGGAACCAUCUUGUUAACAACCAAGAAUGUAGUAACAUUUUGCUUUUAGCCCACUCUUGUUGUAGGAGAAAAACUUGCUUUUCGCUAAAAACUUAUAGCCCCACCUGCCAUAUAUGCAUAUAGUAUAGAUGAUUACUUUUCACCCCUCUCUUAUGUGACUUGCCGGCAUAUUCAAUAUGCUGACCUACACGGCUGCAACGUCUUAUGUUGCAGAUAUUUUUCUUCGACGAGUAAGAGUACGAUUCAGGGUUACGGUCUACACUCAACUUGCCGUUGGUGUUUAUUGGGACUCCACUCCCUUGACCGCUUCCGCUGGGAUGUUUAAGGUAUAUAUCAUUUUUACGCUAUUGUACAUGUGAUUGCACUUUGAUAUAUACAUUGAUGUACUGUGUGUGCCAGCAUACUGAUCCAGGGAUGGCACAGAAACACAGAGGCUUGACUCGUCUUGAGUCGGGUCCCUACAUCACCUUAGCUGUGCCAAGGGAACGAAAUCUGGUUGAUCGAGCGAGAGACAUUUAGCACUCCGCUUCUACUGUUCUCCUUGAUGUACUAGCACAAACCAAUUAUAGAUCAGGCUUGAUAUCUAGCACAUCAAGUAUAGGUCGGAAUUCGGGGCAUCAAAGGGAGUCCAUGAGGAAUAACUUCCAAAAUAAGUCAUACAAACCCUCACAGGGAGAUGGCUAAGAUUGUUGAUAGAAAAUAUAAUAUCAAAUCUUCCGCCUAGGUGUGUUAGCCACAACAUCACUUUACCGAGUUACAUAGAGACCAAUAUUAUAAUUCUUGGGGAAAGUUCCAACCAUUUUAACUGCCUGAGAUUCAGCUCCGGUUGGUGACACGAUGCUUCAGACUCAGCAUGUGUGAAAAGAAAGUUUGCAACACAAAUCGAUGGUAUAACGUUGCAAGAUUCUCAGGAAAUGAACUACGAAAGCCAACUCCAAAACAUGAGCUGGGUUGCAAGACACAUGUGAACACACUGCCCAAGACAAUGAUGACCACAUGAAAAGUCUUACAACAAAACACUACCGAGUUCUGGAUGGGGACCAUUAUUGCGGAUAACGAAACCAUGUGCAAGUCCGUUUGGUACCUUCAGGAAUGGCACUUAACUUCUUUUCCUUGAACAAAUCAAUCAGUGGCUUGGUGUGCUAGGAGAUACAUAUGGAGUGAUGAUGAUCAGUCUAUCAAACCAUAGAAUACUUCGCACAUGCAUGAUUGACUUGGGAUGAUUCCCAAGAAACAAAUUAACUUUUCUCGAAUUCACGGCAGCAACUUGCAUCAGAUGCACAUGAAUUAUGGGAAGUCACUUCUUACACCUAACAUAUACCUCGUGCUCGAGACACGAAGAUAAUGUCUACAAAGUUUCCAGGACUAGUUAAUGUCCAACAUAGAUCAUGGAACAAAUGAGAAUGUUGCCCAUGGGCUCAACAACAAUUCAUCAAGAUACCCAUAUAAAUGGAUUUCCACAACUAUGUGAGCAAGAUAAUAGCAUUGGUGAGAUCAAAGAAUACAAUAGUGUAGGCUCAAGGAAAACCCUGAGUACGAGUACGAAAAUCUUUGGUUCUGAGUUUGAUUUGACAAUAGCCCAUACUCAAAUCAAGGUUGGACAAGAUAAUAUAUGCAACAAUUGAUCACACGGAUCCACCGAUGACAAUAUAAUCUUUCUUCAAGAGUCUCACAACAGGAAAGAUAUCCCUUUAAAAUGAACUAAGUUUAGGCGAAGCUUUUAUCUUCCAACUCUCCAAGUUGUUGUUUAGCUUAACCAACUAGAUCGGGGUAUCCAACACGGAUUCUUGGAGAAAAUGGCUUAUAGAGAAACCAACUUGAUCACGAGCUCUUAUCAUAACACUCAGGAAACAACCUGGAAAUACUUCCGAGAAGAUAUUCGGAAAAUCACGAACCACCGAUAUAUUAUUAAGCUCGGGAAACAAUCUCGCUUUUCAAGGCAAGAUGAUGUGAUCAAUAGAGCAAGGGAUUGACACAAUCCGAUCCCAUCGAUUGAAAAGUGCACCAUGAAAUAUGGACUAGGUAGCACGGUCAAUCUUAGAAUGACGAUUCAAUCAUCAUCACCAUAAGAGUGAAUUUAUUAUCCAUUAGCUACCAAGCAAUAACGUUGCUAGGAGUAUUGAUUUCACACAUCAUGGUUCACUUGUCGAUAUUACAGUUACAACCAACACGGAAACCGAGGGAUGAAUAAUAAUAGCGAGAAGUAUCACUACAUGAAGAGCUCAUAAGAGAUGGUGCAAUUCGCACGACAUUCUUGACAAGAAGAGGGUAAUACUCCAAGAUAGGACAGAACAAAAGCUGGUUAGCAUUUCGAUCUGUGGAAUACAACUACUCUGACCCAAUCCAAGAAAUGGAUGAGGUACUGGAGUUUACUUCUCCCAGUCAUUCGAGAAUAGAACAACUUGACAAACCACGAAAUAGAAGACAUCGUUGACACGAAUGUACAACUACUUUUGACUAACCUCUCAAUGAUGAAGGUCAAAAUACAACUAGAUAGGGCCACCUCAAGAGCACAUGGUUUCUUGAGUUGUGGAUGCAUGGAUUAGCAUGUCGAACGGGUUCAACAUAAUUCUUCCAGAUAACCCAUGCAGAAGGGCGGAGUAGGAAGAAUCACAAUAUGGAGUAGAGAACUCAUCACGAGCACUCUUGUUAUGAUCUUUAGUUCACGGAGAACUUUUGCCAAAGAUGAUUCAUGGUGUUGGAAAAAUGAUAUACCAUGAACCUUGGGAGCUACAACAGGGUUACUAAUCAUUCUAAAGGAACUAGCAACACUAUCAACAGAGAUGAGCAGAAUGAUCCUUGGAUUCGAUGACCCAGAAAUAGAAUACCUAAAAACGAAAUAACAUCACGAGAUGUUUUUGAAAAUGAUGGCCAGAACUAUCACACUGGAAGACAUAGCACCCAUCUAGACUAUUGGGUAGUUUUCGGAGUAACAUGGUUUCCUAAUACUUCAAAAAAAACAUCGAGGUAAUGGAGUACCUCAACACAGUGAUUAGUGUGCUUUGUCUGGCCAAAAGACAUUAGAAAUAAGAGGAAGGAAGUUGCAAUUGCAACAGAUUAUUUAGAAACUUUGGAAAAGUCGGACAACAUAACGGCUGUGCGGGCAUGAAAUAUGAGGCACCCUGCAAGAAAACGAACAACAUAACAAUUGAAUUCUUAUGGAGACACUGAUCCAGGAAGAAAACAACUUUUCUAUAAGUCUCCAACAUAGUAACUCGUCAUCCUAAUGAAUACAUGAGAAAUCCUAACUAUUAAACCCCGUAGAAUAAAGAAGAGGAUGACUCAGAAUAAGAAUGACACAAGGAAAGGAGUAAAAGAGCCUUACGUUACCUUCCACAAACAAUUACCUUAUAUAACUAAAGAGUUGCUAGACUCAACAUCGACCAGUUUGGCUUGCUUAUCCUACAUGCAGUCAAUCUCUGAUACCAAAGUUGUCGGGAGCCCGAUCCUGAGUCAUAAGAACCCAACCUGUAACACAUCACAUCACUUUGCGGCCUCACGCACGGCAAACUCCACGGCUGCCACCUUACCUUGGCCCGGACCGUUUACAUCUUUUGGCUCACGUAUAUGAAUAUGUUGCUAGCGUUCAAACGACAAAGAACCUAGGUCGACAUGACUAGUUAUAAACCCAAGCGGUACAUCUGUACAGGGACAGACAUACAUAACCCAGCAAAGCAGGUGUCGAUCAACAACGUGUGUAGACGAGUCGUAGCAAGCUACAAGGACUCCAUUACACCGCGUGACAUUUCCCCGAGGGGACAGACACAACAGCAAAGAAGGAUACACGCCGGUCAAUCAAUGUGUCUAGAGCAGUAGAAAGCUACCAAGGCUCGAUAGAAGCACAAAGAGGCAUUUCCCUGUAAAGAGUACUACUAAAGGCACACAACUAGGUGUCGAAUCCCACACAUAUAAUGCAUUUCAUAACAUACACACAAUAUGCACGAUAUGUGUAGAUGCAACAUGGCAUCACAACAUAACUCUACGACUCAAGCUUUUAUUAAGGACUCAUAAGAAUCAACAUAGUGUGUUAUUACAAAAAGGGGUCCCGUAACCCGACACUCAAGUCAUACAAACAACAAGCAGAAGCAAAACAUGUCUGGGUACAGACAUCUACUAAAAAUUGUUGGAAGAGCCUGAAAAGCUACUACGACCCUACCAAAGGAGCCAGACCUUUGUCUGGGAUUCCCAAGCUAUUCCGGUCAACGUCGAACACAUCGCUUAGAACCUUAUAAUGAGUCUAAAACUUCUCUGCAAAAACAUAAAUAAAGCAACAGUGAGUACAAAGGUAAUCAGCAAGACUUACAUCAGAACUAUCUACAUAUGCAUCAUGUUUCAAUGGAAGGAUUGUGUGGUUUGAUUUCAGCAAGCCAGCUUUGACCCUUGGCUAGCCUGUACUACGACUAAAAGUUCUUUUUUUGAGGUGGGAUAGCGCACACGAGUCCACAUAUUCAUCAAUCAAAACACCACUAUGGAUUCACUCUCGUCUCCCUACGAUAAAGCCUUCCAUAGCACUCACACUUAUCUUGCAUGUUUUAGAGUAUCCAUUUAAAUUGUCUAUGUACCACGUAAUGCUUCCAAGUAGUCCAUAUCCGAGGACGUGGCUAUUCGAACAGAUUAAAUCACCCUACAUGGGUAUACUUCUUCACGCACGUUCCGACCACUUAUCACCAUGUGCAAGUCAUGCAUCUCGGCAACCUUCAAGCGGAAGCACUGGCGUGGGUGUCGGCCAUGACCGUUAACCACACAAGACCCUAGUCAAGGUUUAUCGCCUAUUUGUGACUGAACCCGCAAGGAAGUCCGGCCGAGGUUUCCUCUACGGCCCCAAACGAUGUGCGCAGUGUUCCCAAGCCCACCAUCCGGGUGCCACUUGAUACACCGUGCCACUUUGUAUCUACCGUAGAGAAGCCCACCCCGUCGGGCCGAGCUAAACACGGCCGCCAACACUUUUCCUACAAACAGCAGAAACUAGUUGCAACUCCUGGACAGAGAUCUAGGCGAUUAAUAACCCAAGAGGGUCAAUUAAGUAUCCCAAUUUGUGGUAGUAUCUUGUCUUGGAUAACAUACACAUAACUCAGUUCUUAAGGACGGUCCCAAUGAGACAACCCACCAUGUACUCCUAUAUGGCCUCUCAUCGCUACCUUUACCAAAUCGGAUUCACACUUUUACUCUCCCACUAUAGGACAUGAACACAACCAUUCUGAUUCAUCAUCCAGAUAGGUCAGACCCGACACGACUCUAAGCAUAGCAGGCAUUGUAAACAAGCAUGGAUGAGUAAGCACAACAAGACUCAAGCAGUUGCUACUCAUGUUAAGUGGUUUCAACUAUUUACUGUGACAAAAUCAGGUCAUGCAGAGGAAUGGGUUCAACUACCGAUAACAUGUACAAUUGAAUCGUGUUUGUCCUAAUGCAGUAAAAGAGAGAAGGAGCGAGAGAGAGGGUUUAUAUCAAUAUGCUCAAGGGGGUUUGCUUGCCUGACAUGUGUGAAGAUAGCAAUGAGUCUUCAUCAAUGUCAACGAUCACAUCGUCGGAAACAUCGUCUACUGAGAGGGAACAACACCGGCAAACAAGAAAGAACAACAAUUACUUCACGGAAAUGCAACACUAUGAUGCAUGCUCAAGACAUGAAAUUAAAGGUGGCAGGGCUAAUCUAUCAUUUCUUAAGUUGAAGUUGGAUUUGAAUUUGAAUUCAAAUAUCACUUCAAGCAAGGAAUUUUCCGGAUACCCUUUUAAUUGAUUUGACCUGAUGCUCAGGUACAACUUGUUUUUUUAACAUGCAUGAAGAUGGUAUUUUGAGGUAUUGAUUUUCCUUGAUCAAUGUUUGGUCAUAUCAAUUGAAGUGGAAUUCAAAUAGGUAUCAAAUUCCAACUCCAAACUAAUUAUUAAAUUUAUCCUAUUCACCAUUUGGCCUAUUUGGUGAUUUUAACUUUUUCGAACAUGCAUGAAAAUACCAUAAUCAGAUUCUUUGGUUUUUUCUGAUCAUUUUUCAUAGAUAAAUUAUUUUCAUUGGACUUACAAAUUAUUUUCUAUGAUUUUUAGAAGUUUUAGGCAUUUUCUGGAAUUAUUUUAUAAUAGAAAAUCAAUUACUGCGUCAGCACUGCGUCAGCACUGCGUCCGCAUUGCGUCAGCAGUCAACUGUCCUGGGUCAGGUCAAACCUAACAUGUGGGGUCCACACAUGAGUGACACAGUUAAAUUAAGAGAGUUAGGUUAAUCUUAAUUCUUAUUUUAGAGCUAUAGGGCCCACUGUCAGUGAGUCAUUGUUUAACUAAAUAGUUAUUAGGCGCUAAUUAAACACCUGACCGGCUGGGCCCACAUGGGAGUGGCUCAGGCCGAUGAGGUCGACGCCGGCGACCAACAGAGUGACGGGGGCUCACCGGAAUUCCUCGAUCUCGUGCUAUAGGCUUCGGAUUUGCACGCGGUUGAGUUCUACGGAUAGCUGAUGAAGCGCAACAUCCAUUCCAACCCAGCCAGGAGGUGGCUGGAAUGAGGCCGGCGACGACCUCGGGCGGUGGCUGGAGUCGGCCAUGGUAGGGCUAGUGCUAGAGGGCAGGAACGGAAGGGGAGAGCACAGGAGGAGGAGCAGGAGCUCACGGCGGUUCCAAAGGAGGCAACAGUGACGGAGGAGGAGCUCGGGGCAUGGCGAAUCGACCUCGAGGUUGCCGGCGGCCGGAGAUGGGGAGGGAGCUCGCGCUCGUCGUCUCUGGGCCCUGCGGUCCGAUUCCUUCGGCGGUGAGGUUGAGGGCGAUGCAGCUGAGCUACCGGGGAUCUUUGGAGGACUUCGGGUGGUUGGAGGUGUCGGUGAGCUCGAGCCGAGGUCGGCCAUGGCGAGAGGAAAAAGUKCAGAGGGGGAGAGAUAAGGGAGAGAGAGAGGGAGGGGCUCGGGGGAGGACGAAAAGAGAGGCACGGGGGGGGGGGGGUGGGGUUGCUAGCGCGGAGAAGGCGAGGAGAGGCUGCCACGACGAGCAGGAGGUGGCAAGGUGAGCCGCCAUGCUCAUCUUCUCCCCUGCUUUCUGGCAGGAGGAGGGAGACGAUAGGGAACCCCCCUUGGUGGGCUGGGCCUGGAGGUAAGCGUCACGUAAAUUCUCUCUCUCUUUUCCUAUUUUUGUUUUAUUUCUUUGUGGCAUUUAGAUUUAGGUUUAAAACAAAAUGUUUAAAUAUUUUAUUAAACCCUAAAUUAGUGUUAUGUGAGAGAUAAAGAUAAUCAAUGCCACAUAAUAGUUUCAACAUUUUUGAAACUUUUAUUUUAAAAGAAAACAAAAUAACUCCAUUCCGAACAAUUAUUUGAUCAUGUCAAAAAUCCUUUUCAAAAUGUUCCAGUGACUUCAAAUUUUGGGUUGACAAAUUUAUUCCUUGUCACUAUUUUCCCAAAUAUUUGGAACAUUUUCCUGGUUCCUUCUAAGGUAUUAAUUUUUAUUGCCUUGUUGCCAAUUUUUCAAAUCAUUGGGGUUUUGAUUACUUCCUAUUUUAAACAUCAAAGUUUUAUAAUGCAUGCAUGAAUGCUUGGCAAACAAAUGAAAGCUAGGGCUGUGGCAUCCAUAUAUUAUUUCACAAUGAUAUUUAGCUAUCCGAUGAUGUUUGAGUAGAUCCGUUUUGUCCUAUGGGUUAGUUGUGGUAUGAUGCUAUUGAUAUGAUUUGUAUGUUGAUAUGGUGUUGUCCUAUGGUGCCCUCUGUGUUGUGCAAGCGGAGGGAUCCCCGUUGUAGGGUACUGCAAUAUGUCCAUAAUUUGCUUAUGGAGGGUUGCUUGAGUCACAGAUGCAUAAACCCAAGUAGGUGGGGUAUGGCGUAUGGGAGUAAAGAGGACUUGAUACUUAAUGUUAUGGUUGGGUUUCACGACCUUAAUGAUCUUUAGUAGUUGCGGAUGCUUGCUAGAGUUCCAAUCAUUAGUGCAUAUGAUCCAAGUAGAGAAAGUACAUUAGAUCAUGCCUCUUCCUCAUUGCAUAUAACAAGUAUCUAUUGUAUCAUAUUCAAUUGCAUAGGGACAAUCUUUCCAUUGCGUUACAAAAAGCUUUAUGCAUCACUACCAAGUUUUUUUACUUGCAACGUACUUCGAGUUUACUUAACGCAAAGUAGUUUCAUAGUAAUUAUAGGUGGAGCAAGCAUUAGCGUGCGUAGUUUUGUAUCGGUGGUCAAUAGAACUUGAGGGAAUAUUUAUUCUACCUUUAGCUCCUCAUUGGGUUCGACACCCUUACUUAUCGAAAAAGCCAACAAAAGAUCCCCUACACUUGUGGGUUAUCAAGACUAAAUUCCAUUACGUGGAUGUCAAAGUCACAAAGUUGGCUUCAAUUGUUGAGCUCCUCCAGCAUGAGGUUGAUGCAGUGCAUAUAUCCCAUUCUAGCAGUGAUGAUGAAGAGUCUCCUCUUCCAACGACUACUCAGUUCAGGACACAGUCUAGGUCUGCAGUUGUGCCAGUGGAAGAAGCAAUACCAACUUCGUCACCUCAAGCAUCAGCGCCUUUAUCUCCAACUCCAGCUCCUGCACCUCCAGAGUCUACAGCUCCACCUCCAGGGACAUCCGCAGAAGCCUUUGCCGACGCUCUCCUGUCUACUCCAUCGACUCCUACCGGAGGAGAUCAAGCCUAUUGUGACGCUUAGUUCUAGACCUUUUAACUUUUGGGUAACUUGUUGCCAAAGAGGGAGAAGUGUAUAGAUCAAUUAGGGCUGAUAGAGAGAGAGAGCUUUGCUUUUAUUUUCUCUCAUUUUGGUUUUUCAAAACAUUUGGUCUUUUGGUCCUUUGGAUGACUUAAUCUUUACUCCAUGGUCAUUUAUUUAAUUAGACAUGGGAAAAUCUAUUACAUAUAUCAUGAUAAAUUUGUUAGAUAUAUCAUGGAAGAUACUUUAAGAUGUCACAUUGUUUUCUCUUAUUCAUACCAUGGAAAAUUUAUUUAUUAGACCAUGGUAGUUUUAUAAUAUGUAGCAUCGAAAUUUUAUCUAUUCAAACAUGGAAAGUUUAUCAUAUGUAGCAUGGCAUUUUUAUGAGUUGGACUAUGGAAAAUUUUGGAAUUCUAUUAUUUACCAUCUUUUUUUCAAAGAUAAAAUUUCCUAAAAAUAGAUUUUGCCCCUAAUUAUAAAUAUAAAAUAAUUGUCAUGUUUCUCAGAGAACAUAAUUAAUAAUUUUUUGUCGUGUUAUUAUUAGCAAAUCAAAAACAUUAGACCAUAAAAUUUUAUUAAUUAGUUCAUCAAAAAAUUGGAAUUCUUACAAUGGCCAAUUAUUAAUUACACCAUUUGCAAUUUUAUUCUAAAUUCCAUGGCAAUUUCAUUUACUAGACCAUAGAUCUUUUUUAAUUAAACCAUGGUAGUUCUAGUUUUGUAGCUACCAUUACAAUUCUAUUUUUUAGUCAAUGGCAAUUUAUUUAAUUAUACCGUGGCAAACUUAUUACAUAUAGCAAGGACAAUACUUUGUAUAUAAGAAUGGCAUAUUUUAUUGAUCAUUCCAUGGAAAAUUAUUUUAGUAUGUUCCAUUAUAAUUUUCAUAUUGCAUAUAGAUGAAAAAACAUGGAGUCAUGGAAAAUUUCUCUAUGUUUUUCAUGUACAUUUCCUAUUAGUUAUGUAUGUUUAUUUUUUCAAACAUGAAAUUUUACGGGCAUGUGACCCUUCUGUAAAAAUGAUAUACACUUUGUCGUGUCACCAAUAUGUAUUUUUCCGCAAUUUUCCCAUGUUACCAUUUUAUAUGAAUCAUGUUAGACACCUUUUUUGUGCUUGUAAUGUAAGUACCUUUAUUUUAUAUAACACAAAAAUACUUAGUUUAACUAUACAAGUUUUUCUACACAAUACCAUGAUGGUUUUUGUGUGCAUGAUGGCAAGUUUUUCAUUUAUUUUUUCUACUUAUUUUGACGCUUGGGCCGUUUUUGGGUUUUUAUUAGAGGGAAGGAAAUUAAUGAUGUUGGAAACCCAUCAACGGCUAGAAUGUUUGGACUAUGGGGUUUCCUCGAGUGAGCAAAAAAAUUCACUCGGUUAGCGUGUAGGUUUUUAAUCAAUAUUUGAUAACGCAAUCAAAUAGAAUACACACAGUUAGUUAACAUAUUUGAUCUGAUUACACUUAAUUACUUUAUUUAAUUCAAUAUAAUAUAUAUAAUCAUUUAGUUAACUAAUUAUUUUAAUUAAAGGUUAGAAUUGUGGACAUAUGAUUAUAGGAUCAAAAGUAUGUCUAGAAGGAGGUGAAUAGACUACUGGCAAAAAUUAAAGGACUAUUUUCCCAAUUUUGAUUACUAGUAGAUUCAAACUUAGCUAGAAAUACAAUAGAACCCUGAAAAUGCAUGUCUAGAGUAUAAGGAGCAGAAACAAUGCAUGCAAGUGCAACUAAUGUACAUAGUAGAGUUUGAGAGAAUCACAAACAUAAGUUGAUACGGUGUAGAUUCUUUACCAUGGUUCCAAGAAGUGGUGCUAUCAUACAUACACAUUAAUGGAGUCUUCGAUCCAUGGAGGAUCUAAUAUCACAUAGUAGAGUUGCGAGAUCCCAUGGAGGAAUCGAUUUCACGAAGAUCUCACACCCACAAAGGAUCCAUGAAGGAGCAACCUCACCUAUUCCACCAUGGCUUACGCCCAUGAAAGACUAUGCCGAGUCAGGUAGAUCUUCACAAAGUAGGAGAUCUCCAAGGCCUCACAAACAUCUUGGCCUCUGCACAAUGGUUGCAGACUUCUAAGCACUCCUGGCCGAUCUAGAAGGCACUAGCCUCCGAAAGGUAAUAGAUGGAGUUAUUUAUGAUGAACUCCUUUCUCUUGUGCUUGAAAAUAUAAUCACCGCAAAACUCAAACACUCUCAUAGAUUUUAGCUUUUGGGAGUUGAGGUUUUGGAUGAACAAAAUGAGGUGACUUGGUCUUAAACAAUUAAAGGUUGGAGUGGAAUCAUUAAUAUCAUCAUCGCUUUGAAAAAUAUGUGAUAUACAAGAACACCCCUAAAUUUUGCAUUAAUUAGAUUUGUGUUUAAAUGCAAUUGCAUAACAGAUUAGGAAUAUGAGGACCUCUUGUAUGCCGCAGACAACUUGGUGUGCACAAAUAUAAUAUAAAAAAAAACACCAAAACACAUGUCAAUGACCACCAAAGAUACACUAGAGCUUAGACGAGUAGCAUAAGUAUAGUAGCACACUACUUUGGUUCAUCACAUACAAAUAAAUGAGUUUACAAGGCAUAAAAUUCAAGUAAAGUAACAAGGAAUGUUACUCGGUAAAAUAAACGCUCCCUAACUCAAAGUUAUAUUAUAUAUAUAUCACUCCCCUUUUUAGUAGUGGGAGAGACAAGGGGGCGAGCAAGGGCCUGCCCCCCUAAUGAUCGACAAUUUAUUUAGAGGCUACAAGUAAUUACCUGCUAGAUUAAGGAAUAUAAAUACUUUCGCCCCUUAACCCAAACGAAGAUUAUGAAGAAUUACGGGCAAAAGGCCCAAAGAAAAGCCCACUCCUCAACAAGGAAUCUAUUACUUGGCCUAUGGCGUUAUCCUAAAUCAAGCCAACCCCUGAGCAUGAUUAACUUGUAACCUGAGACGAUUAGCUCUAGCGAUGGCCACUGCAUCGUGCCCUCACACUACUCGUGAAGUCGAUUAGAAUGAGGCGAAACCGGCUCCGCAACUGGCGAAUCAAGGUUGCACUCUGUCAAUUCUCAAGGGGUCCAGCCCCAAGGUUAGGAAUAUUGGGAACUACUCUAUCUACUAAUCCCUAUCAUCUCUAAUCUUGUAGGAGUUGAAAUUGUACACCCAACUUUAGUUAUUUUGACGGUGUGAUGUAUGAUUCUAAUUCACUUUCAGUUUCUUUCAUUGUUUGAUUUGUGAUGUGGUCAUGAGGGAAAACGGCUUCAAACGACAUAAAGAUUAAUUCUCUUUUUAAGUACAUUGUUUUAAGUUCUCGACCUAGAAUAAUAUUGUCAAUGAGAUUAUUGGCAAUUUUUAGCAAUCACAAUUAAGUGGACAUGACUUCUUUGAAAUUAUUGAAGGCACAAUUCCACCCUAAGGUGGUUUUCGUAAUUAAUAAAAACAUAUGUAUCAUUGAACUAAUGAUUCUAUCCAAGUAUAUUUCAGAAAAGUUCAAAGUUGCACCGGCUAAAUGGUUGUGAGUAGAAACCCCUUGGUGCAAGGAAAGGAAUAGGAUUGGCCAAACUUGAAGCAAGAGGAAUCUACAUUUUAUAUUUGUGAGAAAUCACUUUUGAGUCCAUAGGAAAGUCAGUACUAUUAAAAGGGGGUGAGGUAUUUAUGAUGAAUUGAUUGCGCAAGUGCUUAGCAAUAGCCACCAAAAAUACUCGACAUUCCUCUCACUAAAAAUCUCAGUCCAAAGCCUUUACACCAAAAUCGGUGCCACCAAGAAUUCCAUUUCGGCCCUACCGAUUUUACAAGUGAUAAUGCUUUGCCAAACCCUAAUCUCUUGGUACCACUAACUUUCACAUCGAUGCCACCGAAAGGCAAUGACCAACUCUCUAGUAACUCUAUUUGAAGAAUCAGAACUUCCGAGAUUGAAAUCGGCACCAUCGAGAUUUGGAAACUGUCCUAGGUCAUCGAAUCGGUACCAUCGAGAUAUAUAUCAGUCUCACCGAGAAUUCAAAAGUUGCCACAUUUAGUGCAACUCGAUACCACCGAGAUUCAUUUCGGUGUCGCCGAGUUGGGAAAUAAUGUUGUAAUGGUUGGAUUUGGAUAUGCCUAUAUAUAACACUCCACCACUAUUAGAGCAUAUUUCUCCAUAUGUGAUUUUGGUAAUUGAUGACAAUCCCUAUGUACUAAUGGUUGCCUUAAGAUAUAUUUGUAGGAUUUGUCCAUAGGCACUUCUUGAAGUCCAUCUGUUGGUUUCAAGGAGUUUAUGUGAUGACUAAGGUGGUAUCCAAGGUUUUAUCCAAAGAUUGGUCAUAAAGACGCAAAGUUGAUCAAGACUAAGUCAAAGAGUAAAUCAAGUUGAUCAACACACAAAGCGUACAAGAUGUACCGAGAAAGAUCAAGUGAUCCCAUGGUAUGUCAAGCAUUGUCCAUUACGCUUUGUGUACUAACCCAUGGUAUUCAUGAGAGUUCUAUGUAGGGUUAGGUGUGUUUCCAUGGGUUUGCGUCAAGAGGAAGAUCUCAUUCAACCCAUGGAAGAUUGUGGUGUGCAAGUUCAAGUGGAGCAUCAUGAAGAUAUCAUGCUUGAAGCUUGUCGUCCAUUGUGGUGGCAAUGGACUUGUGAAGAUGUGUUGAAGAGUAGCUCACCCAUAGUGGAGUAUGGAGGAAAUUUACAAGUCUUCAUCGAGCCAGCACAAUCAAGAAAGGUGGUUCAUCUUGAGGAAGUCAAGAGCAUCAUAAUCUACCUCAAGUGGAUAGCUACAAGAUAUUGGUUUGCCCUUAAUAGGUUUUUUCUAUUUUAGGAUAGAUUGUCGUAUUGUCAAGGAGGGUUCUCAAGUGAAUAGCUUGAUUGUAUCAUUCGUUGAGAGCUCAAACCAUUUGCAUCCUUGCAUCAUCUUUCUUGGUUCUUGUUUGGUUGUUCUCUUUGUGAGUUCAUGUGCAUCCUCUAUGAUGUUUUCGAUAUUGGAGUUUUUGUCGGUUCUUCAUUCAUAGAGGUUUCACAUCUCUGUAUCAUUGGCAUUUUUCUACUACAUCUUCUUGCAAUAACCAUUCGUUGAUUGGCUAACACUUAUCGUGUGUAAUCCAACAAGUUAUGGUUGUUUUUGGCUUACCUGUUUUUCACUAAGAGUUUGUACCACCCCUAAGAGAGGUUGUACCGCUAUAUUACAUUUACCGGUUGCACCGCCCCUAUGUUCUUCUGCACAUAACGAGCAGAUUUGUGGGGACCUAUUUAAGGGGAUAUUCUUCCCCAAUGGUUCCCUAACUCUUGAGCUUGUUUUUGCCCCCCAUUGUUGACCUUCUUAGAGCUUGCUAACUAUCAAUCCCUCCAAUGAUUCUUGCUCCUUUUUGAGGGAAACAAGAGAGGAGAUCUAGAUCCACAUUUCCACCAAUAACUUUCUCCUCUAUGUGAGGGGAAUCCCUUGGAUCUAGUUCUUGGAGUUCUUGGUUUUCCUCUUUGUUCUUACUCUCAUUUUCCACCAUAGCAUUAGCUGUUGUGGUGGGAUUUGGGAGAGAAGGACCUGGGCACUCCAUGUGCCCUUGCCAUUGCAUUUGGUGCAUUGGUUUGAGUUCUCCAUGGUGAUACGUGGAAGUAAUGUUUGAGAAUCUUAUUACUCUUUGGUGCUUGGUACCUUAGAGCUAGUUCUUCUUGGAUGCUUUGGCAUCCUAUAACCUUGGUGGUGCCUCGGAGCUCAAUCAUUGUGGUGUAAAGCUCCAGGCAAGCGUCGGGGUCUCCAAUUAGGUUGUGGACAUUGCCCCGAGCAUUUGAGGUUACCUUGAAGCCAUAUUCCAUUGUCGUGAAGCUUCGUGGUGUUGUUGGGAGGCUCUAAUUAAGUUGUGCAGAUUGCCCCCACCUUAUUUGUAGUUUGUACGGAUUCACUGACCUCCCUCAAGGGUCCCUUAGUAGAAUCACGACAUCUUGCAUCGUGCGAGGGCGUGAGGAGAUUACGGUGGCCUUAGUGGCAUAUUGGGGAUCAUUGUGGCUCCACACCGCUCCAAACGGAGAUUAGCAUCCGCAAGGGUGUGAACUUCGGGAUACAUCAUCGUCUUCACGUGCUUCGGUUAUCUCUUACACCCGCCCUUUACUUAUGCACUUUACUUUGUGAUAGCCAUAUUGUUUCUUGUUAUAUAUCUUUCUCUCACAUAGUUGUUUAUCUUGCUUAGCAUAAGUUGUUGGUGCUCAUAGGUGAGCCUAGUUGUUUUAGGUUUUGUGCUUCACAAGUUAACUGUUGAUUUUAUUCCGUAUUUGUUCAAGCCUAAACUGUAAUAAUUUUAAAGCGCCUAUUCACCCCCCUCUGGGCGACAUCCACGUCCUUUCAAUUGGUAUCAGAGAUAGGUCUCUCGUUAUUAGGUUUUACCACCUACAGAGUAAGGAUGUCGAGUAGGCGAUUGGGAUUCUCUAACACUCUUAGUUUUAAUGGCACAAAUUUUGAUGUUUGGGUAAUUUACAUGCUUAAUCUCUUUAGGGUCAUGGACCCAAAUUUAGAGUGAAUCGUAGAUGUGGGUUUUUUUUCCUCCAAAGGAUUCUCAAAACAUAUAUUUAGAGGAUGAGAAAAACUCUUAUCUCAAUGCUCAAGCUUCUAAUGUGCUUUUUGAAUCUUUGAGCAAUGUGGUUAUAUUUCAACUCAUGUCAUUCUGGGAUGCUCAUUAGUUGUGUACAAAGCUUCAAGAUAAAUAUGGUGUGUCCAAGAUUUGUAGGGAUGAUUUUUCUCCCUCCACCUCCGGCCGUGUUGUAUUCUCAACUUCAUCUACUUCACCUACAUGUCGAUUUCCACAAGGUAAUGAUAUGGUGAGUAGUGGUGAUCAUUGCAAUGAUGAUAGUGGGCUUAUUGUUAAUGAUACUUCAUCACUAUCAUAUUGUAAUGCUUCAUCUUUGGGCGUUAACACUUCGAGCACUCUAAAUGUUUUACAUGCCUGUGUUGAUAGUCCUUGCAUAUCAUGUAAAAACUGCUUGACUAAAUCUCAUGAUGAUAUGCUUUCUAUAUCUUGUUGCCAUGAUAAAAAUGUAUCUAUUUCCUCAAGUUGUUGUGCUAGCAAUGUAGAGGAAAUCCAUCACUCCAUGUAACAAGAUGUGGCCUUUAAUGAUGCUUCAAGGGAUCCUUCAACAUCAUCUAUUGUUUCUCAUUUUCGCCUUAUGGCUAAGGCUUCAAAGGUAUCUCCUACUUUUGAAUCCCAACAUAUCUCAUGAUGAUGAUGUGGAUGAAACUGUGGAUGGAGAUAAUGAUGAAGAGAGUGAUAAUAUUGCAUCCUUAAAACAUAAGGGUGAAAUGAUUUUUAAACCUCUUCAUAAGAAUAAUCUUGCUCAUUCCAACUUCAUGGAAAUCAUGUCUAUUGCCAUUGAGGGCAAGAAAUAUAUUGAGGAGUUGGAAGCUCAUCUUGAGGAGCAUGAGGCCACCAUUGAGACAAUGGAAGGUCAUGAGCGUGAUUACGCUAAUGAGAUAGCAGAGCUAUCCCAAGGUCUUGAAAAUGAACAAACCACCAAGAAAUCUCUUGACGAGACCUUUUCUAUAGAAUUAUAUAGAUUAAAGGAAACCCAUGAUAAAGCUCUCGAGGCGGCUAAUGAUUUUAGAACUAAAACUUAUAAGCUUGAAGUUGCUCAUGCUAGAAUCCUUGAGGACUAUGAGCACCUCGAAAAUGGCUCAAGGGCUAUGAAGAGUUUGAUCAUCGAACUCACUGAUUUUCAUGCUCAAUUUGGAGCUUCAUAUGCAAAUGAGCUUGCCAAGUUGCCUUCUCCUCUUGUUGUUGAUAAUAAUGCCUGUGCUUCUAUCUCUAUUUCUUGUGAAUCAUCCAUAUUAAAGGAGAAUGUUGAGCUAAGGGCUCAACUUGAGUUGCUAUCUAGCAAUUAUGGGAAAUUGGCAGAAAGUCAUGCAAUGCUCACAAGCUCUCAUGAUGAUCUCCUAGUAUCCCAUAAUAUGCUAAAAUUAGCUCAUGAGGCUAUUACUACCAAGGUAACAUCAAGUGAGCCUCAUGUGGACAUUAGCACUACUUCUAGUCAAAAUGCUAUAUUGCCAUGUGCUAGUCCUCGUAAAUCAUCUACUCAUAAUGUUGCUACAUCUUGUGAUGAAUUACUUUCCUUACAUUGUUUCUCGAACAAUGAUGCUUAUAAUUCCUCGAGUACUUGUGUUGAUACUAACCAUGAAGAGGAAAUCAAAGAGCUCAAGUCCCAAGUCACUUCUUUGAAGAAAGACUUCCAAAAGAGUCAUGAAGGGAUGUCCACACUCAACAAUAUCCUGUGUGGGAAAAAAUCCCAAAAUGGCAAAGGUGGACUUGGAUUCAACUCCAAUAAGAAGAAGAAGUCCAAGAGCAACAAUAAGAAGGGCCAAGAACAAAUCAAGAACUCGGCCAAGAUUGCUUGCUUCAAGUGCAAGAUUGAAGGGCAUCAUGUUAGAUCUUUCCCAUUGAAGAAGAAGCCGCAUAGUCACAAGCAACAAGGGAAGCGGCCACAAGUUCAAUUACAUGCUCAACCACAAGUUCAAGAAAGUCUACUUCCCAAGAAUAUCCAAGUAAACGCUCCUCAAAUUAAGAAAUCAAUUGAGAAGAAAGUAAAGGGUAGGUGUUGCUACUUAUGUCGUGAGAAGGGUCACUUCGUCUCUUCAUGCACGAACAGUAACUUAUCCAACCCAAUCAUUAUUGAUGAUAUCUAUUCUGUUGGGAAGGAUAAAGUUGUCAAUGUGUUUGCCAAGUUUGUUGGUACUCCAAGUGGUGUCAAGAAAAGAACCAUUUGGGUAGCCAAUCCUAUUGUGACUAACCUCUUAGGUCCCAACUUGGUUGGGGACCCACAAACUCAAACUUUAUCAAUAGGUGAUGUUUGAAGGCAUUAGAGACUUUGCUAAAUUAUGAACAAUUAAGGGAUCUUCAUCAUUAAAAUUAUCUCAAGCCAAGUCAUUUGGAUGAUCGAGUUUCCAUCUUAUAUCCAACGUGCCUCCUUACGGUAACUUGUACUUAAAUUGGUUACAUUGUUAGUUACUUUCUCCUAUGCGUGUUGUGGUUUUUGCCUUGCAUGUGCUUGUAUAUAUUGUGCUUCCAACUUGCUUAUCUUGAGUAUUCAAGUAUGUGUAUAUUGGUUUGCACAUCUUGUACAUGUGAGUUUUGUGUUGAGACUUUUUGCAUUGCUUGUAUCUUAGUUGGCUCUUUUGAGAUAUUAAUGGAUUAUCGCAUUGUGGGGGAGUGAUGUGCUUUGCGCACCUCACAAUCCUAUAAAUGUGUAUAUAUGAGGAAUACCACUUAGUAUUGAUAUUUGAAGAUUAUCUAGUCUCUAUGUGGUAUGUCUUACUCAUGAGAAAUUCAAAUUCUAAAUGGUCCAUUAAUUAUCUCUUGUUGGUUUUCAUUUUCCACUUGUUAAUAAUAUUAGGUUAUCACAUUAUGAGGGAGUAAUAUGCUAUGUGCAUAUUACAAGCCUAGAAAAUGUGUAUAUUUGAGGUAUUGCCACUUAGUGUUGAUAUUGUAGAUUAUCUAGUUCCUGGGUGCCAUGUUAGCUCUACAAGUGUGAGUUCCUUGCAUUUUAGGAGUAAAGAUGAUGUUGGAUAUUUUUGCAAUCUACCAAUGGAAAUUGUUUCCAAAUACUUCUUAUCCUUUGACAAUUGGUAUUCCCAUCAUGUGGUAGAAAUUGCUAAUCAUCUUUACAUUGGAUUUUAUGUAUCGUUUGUCUUCCUUGCCUCUUCUCGAUUGGUUUGAACAUGUCUUGUGUUUCUACAGAUAUAGAAAAAGUGAUGAUACCAUCUGGUGUUGUCGGCGAUGCUAGGUCGACACCUAUGGUGAUCAUCAUGCUACCCUUGUGAUCGUAGGGCGGGGGAAGACAACGUCAAGAGCAGAUCUAACGAUCAACACCUGGCAUGCAUUUUUACCCAGGUUCGGGCCGCUUAUGCGUAAAACCCUAUGUUAUGCUCGUCUGAUCGUAUUAAGCAUUUUUCGUUGUUUGUUACAGUCAUGAUAACCGUCUUCUUGGCCAAUCUCUAAAAAGUCCAACCCCUUGUGAAUGAGCUAAGGGCUGAUACAUCUCAAACGUAUCUAUAAUUUUUGAUGGUUUCACGUUGUUAUCUUGCCUUCUUUGUAUUUUUUAUGUACCUUUUUAUAUCUUUUUGGGACUAACUUAUUAAUUCAGUGCCAAGUGCCAGUUCCUGUUUUUUCCGUGUUUUUCACUCUUUUCAGAUCUGAUUAUGGAACGGAGUCCAAACGGAAGAAAAACCCCGAAAUGAUUUUUUUCCCGAACGGAAGAAGUCCAGGUGGCUUUUGGGCCAAGCCAGGUGGGCUCCAGGGAGCCCACAAACCCCCACUCUGCCACCAGGGGGGAGGCGGCGGUGGGCAGGCUUGUGGCCUCCCUGGCCGCCCCCUGAGCUAGGUGUUUGGCCUAUAAAUUCCCAAAUAUUCCGCAAAAAAUUAGGGGAGCUUCAAAAAUACUUUUUCACCGUCGCAAGCUUCCGUUUCCGCGAGAUCUCAUCUGGAGACCCUUCCUGGCACCCUGCCGGAGGGGACUUUGGAGUUGGAGGGCUUCUUCAUCAUCAUCAUUGCCCCUCCAAUGACUCGUGAGUAGUUCAGUUCAGACCUACGGGUCCGUAGUUAGUAGCUAGAUGGGUUCUUCUCUCUCUUGGAUCUUCAAUACAAAGUUCUCCAUGAUCUUCAUGGAGACCUAUCCGAUGUAAUCUUCUUUCGUGGUGUGUUUGUCGAGAUCCGAUGAAUUGUGGACUUGUGAUCAGAUUAUCUAUGAUUUAUAUUUGAGACUUUGCUGAUUUCUUAUAUGCAUGAUUUGAUAUCCUUGUAAGUCUCUCCGAGUCUUGGGUUUUGUUUGGCCAACUAGAUCUAUGAUUCUUGCAAUGGGAGAAGUGAUUGGUUUUGGGUUCUGCCAUGUGGUGACCUUUCCCAGUGACAGUAGGGGCACCAAGGCACACAUCAAGAAGUUGCCAUCAAGGGUAAAAAGAUGGGGUUUUUAUCAUUGGUUUGAUAUUAUCCCUCUACAUCAUGUCAUCUUUCUUAAGGCGUUACUCUGUUCUUAUGGACUUAAUACACUAGAUGCAUGCUGGAUAGCGGUCGACGAGUGGAGUAAUAGUAGUAGAUGCAGAAAGUAUCGGUCUACUUGUUUCGGACGUGAUCCCUAUAGAAAUAAUCAUUGCAUAGAUAUCGUCACGACUCUGCACAGUUCUAUCAAUUGCUAGACAGUAAUUUGUUCACCCUCCGUCUAUUUGCUUUCAUGAGAGAAGCCACUAGUAAACACUACGGCCCCCGGGUCUAUUCACAUCCAUCGUUUACAACUCCGCUUUUACUUUUCUUUGUUACUUUGUUGCUUUCAAUUCUCACUUGGCAAACAAUCUAUAAGGGAUUGACAACCCCUUCAUAGCGUUGGAUGCAAGCUAUUUGUGUUUGUGCAGGAUCUUGAGAUACUCUUCCGCCGGAUUGAUACCUUGGUUCUCAAACUGAGGGAAAUACUUAUCGUCGUUGUGCUACAUCACCCUUUCCGCUUCGAAGGAACACCAACG
rnacentral:lncRNA from 1 species